ACGUAGGGGGCGAGCGUUGUUCGGAAUAACUGGGCGUAAAGGGCAUGUAGGCGGCUUGGUAAGCCUGGCGUGAAAGACUGCAGCUUAACUGUAGGGAUGCGUUGGGAACUGCUUAGCUUGAGUUACGGAGAGGGAGCUGGAAUUCCUGGUAUAGGGGUGUUGUCUGUAGAUGUCAUGAAGAACACCGAUGGCGAAGGCAAGCGUCGGGUCGAUAACUGACGUUGAGGUGCGAUACUGUGGGGACCAAACAG
rnacentral:rRNA from 1 species